CAAAGCCAUUUCUAUGAAGAAAAACCUUUCAAAACAGUAUUGACAGCUGAUUGUCAAUUUUGCCAUAUGUGAACGGGUAAAUAAAUUUUGUGGAUUUAUGCUAAUUACUGCAUAUGCGAACGUACUUUAAAUGUUGUUCUCGUUCUAGUGCUCGAUGACAGCUGAUCAGCAAUAAUUGCAUUUCUCCAAGAUUGUAUAGUGCUUUUAACUUUAAUAAAAUCUUUAAUUUAGAUUUGCGUGAUCGUGGCUAAAUUUAAGCAUGAAUUUACCACGAAGAAAUGUAAAUAACCUGUUAUUUUUACCGAAAAACCGGGAGUAUGUUGAUGAAAUGUACAGUGCACUGUUGGAUUUCGUUUCGGCAGGUAAAACUGUCGUAGUCCUUACACAUUUUGACACAUCCCCAAGGCUGCUACCGUUAAUACAAAAAUCGGGAAUAGAAGUGUACAAAAAUAAGCAAGCACUACAGAGGCUGAUUUUUAUAUGUUGUGAAAAUGUGAAUGCGGCAAUAAAAAAAUUGUUUGACUUGCAUGACUGGACGGUGAAACCUAAUAUAAUUAUAAUCGAUCUAUACACAUUUGCUUGCUCGACAAACAUAGUUACAUGUUUUUCUCAUGAUAUGGCAAAAACUUCAACAGCCUCUCCAUUUUUACAGCAAUUGGUUCAAUGUAUAGCAAUUUUGUUUAGCAUGAUGAAUUGCUUAAAACUCGAUAACCCGGAACAAAAGUUUCCAGCCCAUCUGCAGUCAUUCACAAGUACGCCCUCCAAAGUAUUUAGCAUUCUAGUAUUACAAAAGCACGAUUGUGUUCUUACUUCAUCGCAAGUGGAGCUCGUAACAGAUUUAUAUUAUGGUAUUAAUGCCUUCGACGACUUCAAAAGGAUUGCCAACGUGAUUCUGAUAUCAUCUACAAGUAUAAAUACUUAAAAAAGUGUAUAAAGUUCGAGCAGAAAACAUACACACUUUCAUUUAAGCUUUGAGAAUGAAAAACACAGUACCAUUACGGGUUACUGUAUUUAAGAACCCAUCUCAAAAUGAAUUAAUUGAUUCUUCUAUGGUGUUUAUAAUUUUAAUAUAGACGUCUGGGAUUUUUAAGUAGCGGGUCACAAACCCAGCGCACAACCAGCUAUCCUGGGAUACUUAGCCUUCUCACGUUGGCUCACUCCCGAACGAGUGUUCUGAAGCUACCCAGAGGAUAUUUGGGCUAAUCCCGGAAGUUAUGAGCUGUUUGAACGAUAUGUAGAAGAAUGGUCCUGGUCACUCCCAAGUGAAUAGCGAUCAGUAACUUUACCCACUUGCGUGGACUUUUACAUAUGGAACCAUCCUCACGAUUGCACCAGCAAUAUUUUCUAUCGUCCUUGUUAACAGUGGUGAUUCUACGUUGUUGCUUUCAGCUGCAUUGGUGUUUGAUGCUUUAAAAAGAUCUCUCUUGGUAAGAGUCACAAUUAUUUUUUAGUAGUGCAAAACGUUUUCUUUUUGCCACCACGUCGUUGGAUUUUUUGGACUUAAGAGCAUUUACAUCAAAAUUUUUGGAGCGUUCAAGUGGUUCAGCGAUAAAUUUGCUUGAUUUUUUUAGUUUUCCCAAGAUUGCCUGCGCAAAACCCAUCUUUGAAAGAAAUUCAUAUUAAUUAUUAGUUAUUAAAUGAACUAUCCAAUUCGAUACAUUCGUUACAUUCAAUAUUUUUCACUAAAUUAGUUAAAAUUCAAGAGUUAUCCGCAAAGUAUCAAAAUUACACUUAAUGAAAAUAACGGAAUCUGUGCAACUAAUAAUGCAAAUUAAUAUAACGGGUCUUUUAAAUUCACUACGAAGCAGUGAUGCCAUUUGUAAAACAAAGCAAAAUUUCAAUAACUAUAAAUUUUUCUGAGCGGCACAAAAAAAUGAAUAGAUAUAUACAGCGUACUUAUUUUAAUGACCAUGUGUAUAUACAUAUAUGUACAUACGGGCCUCUUCGGGAAUGCAUCAGUAUGCGCACAGUUAGUAGCGCUGCAGAUUUGAUAUAUGAUGCAACUGAUCAUUUGUCAUGUUUGACAUUUUGGUUGUAUUAGAGGUCGCGUUCUUUGCCGUAGUAAACAAGGCAAAUGUAUUCAAGGUGGUGGCAUUCGAGCAAAAACAUUUUUUAAAUUAUAACUGUGACACAACUCUCCGUCAUUCCGUUUUCCUGACAAUUCUAAAUUAAAGGCGAAUGGAAGAAGUGGAAAUUACCCAAAGAUGAUAGAUUACUAGAUUUGGCCAAUAACUAUGGUGAAAAAGAAUAAAAUUGUGGGAACUUCGGCUGCCACGUCACGGGAGUGAUUCAACAGCCGAAUUCCGCACGAUCAUUUCAUACACUCGUCCAUUCAGUAGUUGUUCAGACGGCCACGAUUCUUAGUUUUUUUUGUACACAAACCGAUUCGUAGCUCCUGCUACGUCAGCCCAACAUCCGAUUCUAUCAAAUUCGCUGAGAGCCGGCUAACGGUCUGAUAUUAGCUACACCACAAGGCACAUUCAUUAAAGGUGGUGGCACUAGACCAACAACAAUAUUUUGUACAUUUGAUUGUUAAAGUUGUUUUAAUCCGGGCUGACAGCCACAUGCACACGGCGAAAGAAAAUAAACAAAUCAGAUGACUUACCGAUACCACCCAAGGCGAAUUGAGCAUCUACGGUGGCGCCAUUAAAAACAGUUACUUUAUUUUUGGCGAUUUUGACAAGUCUGACAUCAGCUCC